rnacentral:lncRNA from 1 species
CCUACCAGAAGGAAGAAACUCCAAACACAUCUGAACAUCAGAAGGAACAAACUCCGGACACGCCGCCUUUAAGAACUCUAACACUCACCGCUAGGAUCCGCGGCUUCAUUCUUGAAGUCAGAUGAAGAGAUUGAAAAGUUAAGGAACAUGCACCAGGCAAGCAGCAAAGACUGCCCUUUUCCAUGAUUUUAUCCACUUCUUCCACUCCGCCUGAAACCUGUCUGCCUGAGCCCUGCCGAGACCCAGGCCCAGUUUUCUGUCUCGGAUUACUUCAGAGUUUGGCUUGGGCCUUUUCUUCAGGAAUCAUGCUGUGACUCG